UCUGCUAUCGCUUUUAGAUGGACCCGCGGCGUAUUAACUAGUUGGUGGGGUAACGGCCUACCAAGGUGAUGAUACGUAGCCGAACUGAGAGGUUGAUCGGCCACAUUGGGACUGAGACACGGCCCAAACUCCUACGGGAGGCAGCAGUAGGGAAUCUUCCACAAUGGACGCAAGUCUGAUGGAGCAACGCCGCGUGAGUGAAGAAGGUCUUCGGAUCGUAAAACUCUGUUGUUAGAGAAGAACACGAGUGAGAGUAACUGUUCAUUCGAUGACGGUAUCUAACCAGCAGGUCACGGCUAACUACGUGCCAGCAGCCGCGGUAAUACGUAGGUGGCAAGCGUUGUCCGGAUUUAUUGGGCGUAAAGGGAACGCAGGCGGUCUUUUAAGUCUGAUGUGAAAGCCUUCGGCUUAACCGGAGUAGUGCAUUGGAAACUGGAAGACUUGAGUGCAGAAGAGGAGAGUGGAACUCCAUGUGUAGCGGUGAAAUGCGUAGAUAUAUGGAAGAACACCAGUGGCGAAAGCGGCUCUCUGGUCUGUAACUGACGCUGGGGUUCGAAAGCGUGGGUAGCAAACAGGAUUAGAUACCCUGGUAGUCCACGCCGUAAACGAUGAAUGCUAGGUGUUGGAGGGUUUCCGCCCUUCAGUGCCGCAGCUAACGCAAUAAGC
rnacentral:rRNA from 1 species